UCCCUGGAGGACUAGUGGUUAGGCCACUGUGCUCUCACCGCCAUUGCCCAGGUUCGUUUCCCGGCCAGGGAA